rnacentral:rRNA from 1 species
GACGAACGCUGGCGGCGUGCUUAACACAUGCAAGUCGAACGCUGAAGCCCUUUCGGGGGUGGAUGAGUGGCGAACGGGUGAGUAACACGUGGGUAAUCUGCCCUGUACUUCGGGAUAAGCCUUGGAAACGGGGUCUAAUACCGGAUAGGACCUGUCCUCGCAUGGGGGUGGGUGGAAAGUUCCGGCGGUAUGGGAUGAGCCCGCGGCCUAUCAGCUUGUUGGUGGGGUAGUGGCCUACCAAGGCGACGACGGGUAGCCGGCCUGAGAGGGUGACCGGUCACACUGGGACUGAGACACGGCCCAGACUCCUACGGGAGGCAGCAGUGGGGAAUCUUGCGCAAUGGGCGAAAGCCUGACGCAGCAACGCCGCGUGGGGGAUGACGGCCUUCGGGUUGUAAACCUCUUUCGACAUCGACGAAGGGGCCCUGUUGUGGGGUUUUGACGGUAGGUGUAGAAGAAGCACCGGCUAACUACGUGCCAGCCGCCGCGGUAA